AUGACGUGCCAAGACGACUUCCUCCUCAUGAGGUUCUUCUGCAGCUGCAUUGCAACGCUGGAGAGCAAUGCCACCGUCCUUUCUCUGUUCCGCACUAGAUUUUGGAUGGAAGAUUCUGCUGACUUCGGUCCAGAGACAGCCGCCCAUGGGAUCCGGGUGUUCCCGAGGUUUCAGCUCACUGUGGAAAAGAGCAGAGCAGAGGUUGCUGCAGAACAGAAAGCUGCAGUAGAGUGGAAGAUUAGUAGAGGUGAGGGAACGGGUCCCAGCUGUAGGGAGGUGGGCCCUGUCCCGUGCCAGGUGACCGGAUCCAGGUUCACGUGCUGUGUCCGUGGGGCUGCUCUGAAGAACUUCUUUCUGUCUUGGUUCCAGGGGGCUCUGCUGGCAGGCUGCUGCAGAGGCGGAAGAGACUUCCCCCCUCCAUGCUGCUGCAGCGCAAGCCAAGCUCAAGGCAGCAAGACGUGGCGAAGGAGCCUUCUGCCAGCGCGCUCCUGCCAUGUGCAGGCAGCUCCCACGGGACGAAAAAAGCAGGACAGAAGGAAGCAUCUACUCCUGCCCAGACCAGUACUGCACCCUCUGCUACAGAAGAGUCUAAGAGGGUGCUGCAGGUACCGGCCCUGCCUUGCUACGGGGACUGUGCUGCUUGAGACUGCACAAAUGACAGAAUGGUAGAAUCGUAGAGAAGUUUGGGUUGGAAGGGGCCCCUCAGACCACCUAGUUCCGAUCCCCUGCUGUAGGCAGGGACACCUGUCUCUAGACCAGGUUGCUCUAAGCCUGACCCAGCCUGGCCUUGAGUGCUUCCACAGGGAGGGAAGCAAAAGCCUCUGUGUGUGCAGUGAUCUGGAGCACAGCCCCUGGGGUGCCAUCAUUUCACAUUUCUGCCCGCUCCUUCAGCUCCUCUUCUAUAGAUGGAGGGUGCUACACGUCUUCCCUGUCUCUUCUCACCUCCUGGCCUGCCACCUGCCACAGCACUCUGAUUUUGAGCAGGGGCCAUGAGAGUGGAAUACGACCUCUGAGCCACGUUUGCCACAAGUUGUGGAUCCCAGCCUGCCUUUGGGGCCCCUGGUCCUUCAGGGGCAAAGCAGUGCCAACAGGCCAGCAGAGGCGAGGAGCAGAAGCGUGGAGCUGAAGGAAGGUCCCAGGGGCUGAGGCUGAUCCUGUAUGCUGCUGUGUCUCUGCAGGAGCUCCGGGAAGUGUCUGCAUUGUGGAAAGAAGCAGACCGCAUGUGGCCCGUGCACCAGCAGCAAGUAGAGCAAGCACGGGCAGAAAGGGCGGCGUGGGAAGGCUGGAGCGUAGGGAAGGACCAGCGUCCACCCCAGGUACCGUCAGGGAUCGAGCCUGCUG
rnacentral:lncRNA from 1 species